UCUCCCGUGAGGGAGCAGUCUCGCCUGACACAUGUAACAGGCAACAGGGGUUGCGUUCGUUUCCCCACUUAAGGGAACAACUCAAGUCACGAACUGACGACGGCCGUGCAUCACCUGCCAUACCGCCCGAAGGCCCCUCUCGUUUCCAAGAGAGUUCGGCAUGGUUUCAAGCCCUGGUAAGGUUCUUCGUUUAGCGUCGAAUUAAGCCACACGCUCCACCUCUUGUGCGAGUCCCCGUCUAUUCCUUUGAGUUUUAAGCUUGCGCUCGUACUACCCAGGCGGCCCGCUUAACGCGUUAGCUUCGCCUCUCAGAGGGUCGAUACUCCAAAAAGCCAGCGGGCAUCGUUUAGGGCUAGGACUAC
rnacentral:misc_RNA from 1 species